rnacentral:lncRNA from 1 species
AAACCUCUUUCAGCACCUCCAAGUCUUGUAGAAACGGAGAUAUAGGCGUUUAAAGUUUCCAAAUUUUGUCCGACCUCCCCUAUUGACCCGAUCCACCGUGCGUCGCGUCGGUCACUUGGCCAGCCCCAUUUAAAAAUGACUUCGGCAUUACUAUGUUGAUUUAAUGUGGCAUCUGCCUCUCUACUCUAUGCAUCGUAUUCGUCCGCGUGUCGGACCGUCUUUAAUCAGAUUGGAGCACAUUCGACCGCAGUCAUUUCCCAAUGCAUUCUGGGAUUUUGUCGACCUAAAUAUGAGUCUAACCUUGUUGUGCUCUUUUGCCACAGUCCUGGCUUUCAUUGAGGCCCCACCCACUCCUACCCCAUCACCAGAAAGUAGAAGUUUCGAUGAAUUACUAGAUGCCUUCGUGGCCAUAGAAACCAAACGAAUAGCCGUCGUGCACAAUGCGACACAGCUAGCCGCGGACCGAAAAAGCGACAUAACGGUGAAAUUUUUGCGGGUCAUCGGAGAAGCGAGUGACGUGCUUGUGAACAUGCGGCGUUUCUUUGAUGCUGGCAGGGUCUUGUUCAAUUUUAAAAAGGACAAAUCAACACCAAAAGAAAAAGAAGAUGCAAUCGCGCCCACUCCGGAGAGCAAAAGUUUCGAUGAAUUACUAGAUGCAUUCAUGGUCACAGAGACCAACCGAGCAGCCGGCAUACAGAGGGCGAUAAAGCUAGCCGAGGACCGCAACCAAAAUAUGACGGUGAAAUUUUUGGGAAUCAUCGGAGAAGCGAACAAGAUACUGGUGAAAAUCCGGAAGUUUUUUGAUGCCGGUAGGAUUCUGUUAUAUUAUAAAAGGGGCAUAGCAACAAUACCGGAAUCAGAAAUAACUGCGAAAACUCAGCUUCUGCAUAGGACUAAUUAUUUGAAUGAUCAGUUGGACAGACUGGCUGCGAUCCAUAAAACUAUGGAUAGUCAAAUGCAGGAGGUGUCUCAGGCUGAGUUGAUCAUAGUAGCAUCUGUAAUCAAUUCUCUUGAACAGAGUGAACAGGAAUUGCUCCCGUUAAUGAAAACAUUUAAUGCGGUUGUGGAGGAGCUGCAACAGGAAAUAACCCCAGCUCCAGCUCCAACUCCAACUUUCAAUCAGCAAAACAAAACUUUUGACGAAUUACUGGAUACAUUCAAGAGCGUGGAGACCAACCGCAAAACCAAUAUGAAGGAGGCAAAGGAAGCAGUCUCAAGCCAUAAAAACUACGACACGGAAAAAUUCCUAGGGAUUGUCGGGGAGGCAGAUGAAAUAUUGGUGAACUUGCGGCGCUUCUUUGAUGCUGGCAGGGUCAUGUUCAACGCCUACAAACGCCGAUUGACGUCUGGGGAACAAGAUGCAAAAGCGUUCCAGAAAACAAAGCUCCUGCGAGAGGAGAACUAUUUCAAUAAUCAAAUGCAAAGACUAGCCGCAAUGUAUUCACUUUUGGAGGAACAGAUGCGCCUCCUAUCCGAUGAGGAGUUGAACAAGCUGAGACCAUUGAUCGACAUCAUUAACCGAAGUGAACAGGAACUGGCUCCACUGGCAACACAAUUCAAAAUCGAUAUGGAUAAGAUGGAAAAAAAGCCUAUAAAGCCAUAA